CUCCGCGCGCCUGCCCACGCGCUCCGGUACUCGCUGCUCGCGGCUGGCCGGCUCGGGAUUCCGGGCUUUCUUCCCGAGACCGCGUCCCCCAGCUGGGCCGAAGGUGGACGCUCAGGGGCUGGAGGCUCAGCGGAAUCCCCUGCGUUCAGUAGCCCCGCUCUCCCCUGUCCCGAAGGAUUACUCUGCCCCUCAGCGGUUCCAGUGCCCUCAAAGCAAUCUGUCUCUGAAGUACUGGCUAUCUUCUGAGCGUGUGCCAGAAGAUCCAGCUUUGUUGAAAAGCGAAGCCGUUAGUCCCUUAAUACAAAGGAGACAAAUUGAUUUAUGCCUGGGGCACCAUCACCAAAAGAAGAGGAAAUGGAUGCAAGCCUUCCCAGAACAACAGAAAGAGUCUCGCUCUGUUGCCAGGCUGAAGUGCUAUGGUGUGAUCUCAGCUCACUGCAACCUCCGCUUUCUGGGUUCAAGCAAUUCUCAUGCCUCAGCCUCCCGAGUAGCUGGGAUUACAGGCACAUGCCACCACGCCCAGCUAAUUUUUGUAAUCUUAGUAGAGAUGGAGUUUCACCAUGUUAGCCAGGCUGGUCUUGAACUCCUGACCUCAAGUAAUCCGCCAGCCUCAGCCUCCCAAAGUGCUGGGAUUACAGGUGUGAGCCACUGUGCUCAGCCAAAAAACUUGCAUUUUAAAGAAAGUUUUCCAGAACUGGGCUUGUUCCAUUCAAUAAGUAGAUUGAGUUACAACUAUGCACUUAGCUUCAUGUGACACUGAAGGGAAUAUGAAGAAGAAAGAAGACAAAUUCUGCUUAUACUCUGAUAGGACGACCUCUGCUAUUUUCCUUCUGAAGCUUUGCAGAGAGCAGUGAAUUGUAAUGAAAGGAGAUUUGGGAGUAAAGACUCCGUGAGGUAUUGAAGUCUCUAGGGGAACCUCAUUAUAGCAUUCCUCUUCCCAGCCUGGAUUCUGAACAAUUUGAGAAAUAAAAAGCAAAUGUGAAGCACACUGAGGCCAAAGUAUCACCUUUAGAACCAGUAAAGAUGAAUUGGAAUUCCAGGCAUGGCAGGCCAAGGCAGACAUCAUCCUUAGAGGCAGAGUCCCUGGAGGGGAAGAGGAAGGAGAUAAAGCUGAAGCAAGCAAGCCAGGGCAAGUCACUUUGACACCCCAGGGACAGAAAGGGACCAGGAGUAUGGUCAGCUGCAACUAGGAACUGGGGAAAGAUGUUCCCGCAUCACUGGUUUUUUCCGCUCCUCAGAUGCGUGACGUUGGAUGAGUCCAUUAAUCCCUCUAUCCAUUAUCAUCUUUUCUAAACCAAAGGAUUUUACUAGAUCAUCUCUGAAAUUUCUUCCAGGUCUACAGUGGUAUGAUUAUAUAAAUUACUAGACCCAUAGUAAAUCAUCUAAGAGCUCAUAUGACCUUAUUUAGAAAGGAAAUUACAAAUCUUUUACACUUGGAUCUGGAAUUGCUUUUGUAAAUGUGAAGCUACUAUGAGUUGAAUUACACUUUUGUUUCAGAGAUUGACUUUAUGAAGAUCCUUAGGAAGUUUUAAAGUUGAAUAAGAUUCUUCUUCUUACCUUUAAUCAUCACUUUUACAUCUCAUUUGUGGAGAAUCAAAAGUCACUGGAAUCAAAAGUCACUGACCCACAAAGUGUCUUCCUCUUGCAAGAUGGGCAAAUGGAUCCACAACAACAUAAAACCCAGCAUCACACUGACGGUUACAGAUCUGUUUCUGCCGGGUUGAGUCUCCUGGCCACCAGAAUCCCAGAGCUCUCACCCAGGCUGAGAUGCAAAAGCCACAAGCACAGUGGGGAGAGAGGAAAAUAAGAGAAGGAGCCCAUGACUUUGAGAUGUGAAAUAAAGGAGAACCAACAAUACUCUGUGCCUACUCAUGAGCACCUCGGUGUACUCCAGAACUUUCAUUUCAAAAAGUUAAAUAGGAACCUUUGUCCAGAGAUUGGCUCAGAUGUUCUCAUUAGAUCUUAGCUUGAAGCCUCUUCUGCCAGUUCCUCCCUGUUUUUAUAGUAAGUCUCAUAAGGCAUGGUCCUGGACCCACAGCCCUGUAUCAUAUGGAAAAAUGAUGCAGGCCGGGCAUGGUGGCUCAUGCCUGUAAUCCCAGCACUUUGGGAAGCCAAGGCGGGUGGAUCAUUUGAGGUCAGGAGUUCAAGACCAGCCUGGCCAACAUGAUGAAACCCCAUCUCUACU
ensembl:lncRNA KTN1-AS1 KTN1 antisense RNA 1